UCUGGUUUUCUGUAUGGUGACAGAAGGCUUUGAUAUGGGGAGAAUUGGAGUGGCUAAGAAUCAGAUGGAGACCCAAUGUCAGUUCACAUGGAAUACCAGGGUUUGCAAAGGAGGACAUUGGAACUGGCUUAAGUAUUCGAACUUCUGAUGGCAGUUGAUGAAAGAAGAUGUCAUACUUAGGGAAACAUUAAAUUACUUUGAAUGAUAUUACCUAAAAACAUCAAACAACAGGGGAAAAAAGAGGACUGCCUAUUUCCGAUUUAUCUUUACACAACAACACCAGAAGCACUACCAUCAAAAAAUUAAAAUCAAUAUAUAGGAAGAAAAAAUGAAGACAUUGAUUAAAAGAAAAGAAGUUCAAAGAGUUUCGAAUAUUAUGUCAAGUUGUCAACGACAACACAGAUCUGGAAAUGGAUUUUCUUGCCUAAUAAUUAUAUUAAAUGCAUGUUCAUGCAUGACUUUUGUUCCAACUGUGUUCCCUGUAUCACAAUUCCUCCAUCAUGUAUACAUGUAGAGCAAGGGCAAUGUUAAAAAACCAUCACAUCUUGUGUAACACCAACAAAACAGCUUUUUAUUGUUUGGACAUUAAAUGCUUAUGAUUAUACUUAAAAUUGCAAGAAAAAGGACUGUACCUGUGUAAAGUACAAUGCAGCAAUAUACAAAAAAAGAUUGUCCAACAAUAUUUUUGUCUCUGUUAUUUGUGUUGUACUGGUAUACACUUAUGUAUUGGAGCAUGAGAAAUAAAAAAAAAUAUUUCUUGAUUUAAA